AUUGAACGCUGGCGGCAUGCCUUACACAUGCAAGUCGAACGGUAACGCGGGGCAACCUGGCGACGAGUGGCGAACAGGUGAGUAAUACAUCGGAACGUGCCCAGUAGUGGGGGAUAGCCCGGCGAAAGCCGGAUUAAUACCGCAUACGACCUACGGGUGAAAGCGGGGGAUCGCAAGACCUCGCGCUAUUGGAGCGGCCGAUGUCAGAUUAGCUAGUUGGUGGGGUAAAAGCCUACCAAGGCGACGAUCUGUAGCUGGUCUGAGAGGACGACCAGCCACACUGGGACUGAGACACGGCCCAGACCCCUACGGGAGGCAGCAGUGGGGAAUUUUGGACAAUGGGGGCAACCCUGAUCCAGCCAUGCCGCGUGCGGGAAGAAGGCC
rnacentral:rRNA from 1 species